rnacentral:rRNA from 1 species
AGAGUUUGAUCAUGGCUCAGAUUGAACGCUGGCGGCAGGCCUAACACAUGCAAGUCGAACGGUAACAGAAAGCAGCUUGCUGCUUUGCUGACGAGUGGCGGACGGGUGAGUAAUGUCUGGGAAACUGCCUGAUGGAGGGGGAUAACUACUGGAAACGGUAGCUAAUACCGCAUAACGUCGCAAGACCAAAGAGGGGGACCUUCGGGCCUCUUGCCAUCGGAUGUGCCCAGAUGGGAUUAGCUUGUUGGUGGGGUAACGGCUCACCAAGGCGACGAUCCCUAGCUGGUCUGAGAGGAUGACCAGCCACACUGGAACUGAGACACGGUCCAGACUCCUACGGGAGGCAGCAGUGGGGAAUAUUGCACAAUGGGCGCAAGCCUGAUGCAGCCAUGCCGCGUGUAUGAAGAAGGCCUUCGGGUUGUAAAGUACUUUCAGCGGGGAGGAAGGGAGUAAAGUUAAUACCUUUGCUCAUUGACGUUACCCGCAGAAGAAGCACCGGCUAACUCCGUGCCAGCAGCCGCGGUAAUACGGAGGGUGCAAGCGUUAAUCGGAAUUACUGGGCGUAAAGCGCACGCAGGCGGUUUGUUAAGUCAGAUGUGAAAUCCCCGGGCUCAACCUGGGAACUGCAUCUGAUACUGGCAAGCUUGAGUCUCGUAGAGGGGGGUAGAAUUCCAGGUGUAGCGGUGAAAUGCGUAGAGAUCUGGAGGAAUACCGGUGGCGAAGGCGGCCCCCUGGACGAAGACUGACGCUCAGGUGCGAAAGCGUGGGGAGCAAACAGGAUUAGAUACCCUGGUAGUCCACGCCGUAAACGAUGUCGACUUGGAGGUUGUGCCCUUGAGGCGUGGCUUCCGGAGCUAACGCGUUAAGUCGACCGCCUGGGGAGUACGGCCGCAAGGUUAAAACUCAAAUGAAUUGACGGGGGCCCGCACAAGCGGUGGAGCAUGUGGUUUAAUUCGAUGCAACGCGAAGAACCUUACCUGGUCUUGACAUCCACGGAAGUUUUCAGAGAUGAGAAUGUGCCUUCGGGAACUGUGAGACAGGUGCUGCAUGGCUGUCGUCAGCUCGUGUUGUGAAAUGUUGGGUUAAGUCCCGCAACGAGCGCAACCCUUAUCCUUUGUUGCCAGCGGUCCGGCCGGGAACUCAAAGGAGACUGCCAGUGAUAAACUGGAGGAAGGUGGGGAUGACGUCAAGUCAUCAUGGCCCUUACGACCAGGGCUACACACGUGCUACAAUGACGCAUACAAAGAGAAGCGACCUCGCGAGAGCAAGCGGACCUCAUAAAGUGCGUCGUAGUCCGGAUUGGAGUCUGCAACUCGACUCCAUGAAGUCGGAAUCGCUAGUAAUCGUGGAUCAGAAUGCCACGGUGAAUACGUUCCCGGGCCUUGUACACACCGCCCGUCACACCAUGGGAGUGGGUUGCAAAAGAAGUAGGUAGCUUAACCUUCGGGAGGGCGCUUACCACUUUGUGAUUCAUGACUGGGGUGAAGUCGUAACAAGGUAACCGUAGGGGAACCUGCGGUUGGAUCACCU